AAUGACCUGCUUAGAGUUCUGCGCCCCCCAGCAUGGAGAGCAGAGCGCAAAGAUUUCCUCCAGACUCCCACAUUCUCCCUUGGAAUCCAAGAACUUGUCUACUAUCACAACACUUUAGUACCCACUUCUCCUAAGGAGGCAGCAGAAACCAAGGUAAUCACAAUGGUCAACAGCAGCGAAGGCAGCACUUUCUGAUUUUAAACUUGACUGCUAUGGAUGCCACCUCAGUUUAAUAUCUGGUUUCACCAUGUUGCCUAGGCUGGUCUCGAGCUCCUGAGCUCAAGCUAUUCACCUGC
rnacentral:antisense_RNA from 1 species